rnacentral:tmRNA from 1 species
CCCCUUCCAAUCGAAGGGAAGGACGCCUAUAUACGGCGUGUCAGCGCAAGCUGACUAUGGUGAUAAAUGGACGAUGUAAUAAACCUAUUGGACCCGGGGGCGGUACCCGGCGCCUCCACCACAACGCAAGAAGCAUUAAUAGCGAGUUGCGCUGCGG